AUCUGGCUGACGAGUCCCAAAUAGGACGAAACGCGCGUCCUGGAU
rfam:Schistosoma mansoni strain Puerto Rico chromosome 3, complete genome